rnacentral:rRNA from 1 species
UACGUAGGGACCAAGCGUUGUCCGGAAUCAUUGGGCGUAAAGCGCGCGUAGGCGGCCCGGUAAGUCCGUUGUAAAAGUCGAAGGCUCAACCUUCGAAAGCCGAUGGAUACUGCCGGGCUAGAGUACGGAAGAGGCGAGUAGAAUUCCUGGUGUAGCGGUGGAAUGCGCAGAUAUCAGGAGGAAUACCGAUAGCGAAGGCAGCUCGCUGGGACGUUACUGACGCUAAGGCGCGAAAGCGUGGGGAGCGAACAGG